UACAUAUAAUUUUUAUUGACACCUUAAUAAAGCUAGAAAAAAAUAAGUGAAAGGCCUAGUCCGAUGCCCCUUAGAAGACUAGAUUCUAUUUGCAAAUAGGACUCACUGCUGAAAAUUAAUUUUUCAGCUACCCUGGGGUUAAUUGCUCAUGAGGCUCAGCUCUGCAUGGGGCACCAUAAAGAGGCCUGUGGACUAACGGAGAAUCAGGAUUAGGGUAAUAGCCCUUGAAAUGUACCUUCUUGGGAGCUUACAGAAGUGGAGCUCCCCACAGGUAGCCACUACAGAGACAGGCACUGGCUAUUUGCUUGUUUUGCAGUAAACGAUAAGUGUAGAUGUUUUGCAGUUUUUGCUGAGAGAAGCAAAAGGUUGUCCUGAGUCACUGGACACUUACAUUCUCUUUUCAAAACUACUACAAAAAUAUUUAGUACUUAACUAGAAUGUACAUUGAAAUUAUAUUUCCCUAUAAUCCUGUUUGUGUCAGCACAUUAAAAUUCCCUUGAAUGUUUCUUAUGUAACCACUUCUGGUUAACUCUUAUCUUGAAGUUAGUACAAUUUAGUCUUUGCUGUCUUUUUCAUCACUGUGAAAGUCCCUUUCUCAGAUUCUUCAAUUGCAUCAAAUUCCCCAUGCACUCCAAAUCUUAUUCCACUCCCAAUUUAUGUAAAACCAAUUGUGCUUUCAGUCUAUUUAUUUUAGUUCAAGUAGACACCUUAUUUAAAGAGGCUUUAUAGCUCUCAUACUAAUUACUUAUGCACUCACCUGUACUGCAUGAUGGGAGAAAUGCGCAGCCUUCACCGUCAUCAAAACGUUCAGUAAAUACUUAAUUUUUCAUGUCUUUGAUUGAUACUAUGUGAAGAUUUACAAAGAGUUACACAAAACUGGCUUCUUUUCACUAGAAGCUGAAAUUGGAAAGUUGACACAGGUAUAUGGACAAAUACAACAUAAAGCAAAAGUGCAAUUAUUUGGCCUGAUCAAUGUUUAAGUGUGCCCAAGCUCAUUUCCACUUCAUAACAUAUGCUGGUUGUUCCAUCUCCUUUUAAUUCUCUUCCUCCAGAUCUUUAUAUCUCUUGCACUCUCACUUUAUUAUUAAUUUUUGUUGCUGUUGAAAUGCUACUUUCUCAGAGAAAUUUUUUUCUGAUCCUGUUUUCUAAAAUAGAGUUUUCUCCAACAUUUUUACAAAAUUACUCUCUAAGUUCUUAACUUGAUUUUUAUAUAUAUGUUACCAUCACACUUGUCAGUACCUGAAACUGUAUUAUAGAUCAAUUUCUUUGUUUAUGGUUUGUCACCAUAGAAUGAAAUUCCAUAAAGGCCACAAAUUUGUCUUAUUUAUUACUAUAUUUUUAGUGUUUGAAAUAGUGCCUGCUACCUAGGAGGUGCUUGUUAAAUUUUUGUGAGUUAAUGAAUGAAUAAGUCUCAUUUGAUUCAAAAUGAAAGGUGAGGUGAAAUAUUGGGAACAUAUCAAAGAAGAUGUUAAAAUGGUGAAGGAAGAGUCAUCAGGAACACUGUUGAAAUAAGAGAAGGAUCUUAGAGAUUGCCUGCUUGUUGAAAAAGAAUGGAGGAAAACCCAGGUGGAGAAAUUCCAAUUUUGAAUCAAUUUAGGAGCACUGAACAGUAUGAAAGAGAUAUUCUCAGCUGAGUUGUUUAGGGCAGGGGUAUUUGAACGAAAGAACCUGUUGCCUCUUUUUGAUUCCUGAGCUUGAGGAGUUGAGAACAAUGGGUAAACAAUGUUUGUUGUGGCAUGGUACUCAGGGACAUAUCUGCUAGCACCCAUGGAUCUGUUAUCUGUUCCAAACCAAAUCUGGCAGCCUGGUAAAGUGAGGAUUCCAGUUGUCUUGGGUAGUAACUACACUUUCUUUCUUUCUUUCUUUUUUUUAAAUCAUCUGCUACAUUUCUCAGAACUAGGGAAUCCCUGAAAGAAAUUUUCAAGACAUAGAGCACAAAGACUGGAUCUGUUUGUUAUAUUUUGAGUAAGAAUAGAGGCUACUAUUCAGGAAAUGCACUUUGUUAUUUGAGGAAGGGAAAUGUAGAAAGGGCAGUCUGCCCAUUAGCCUUUUCUAAAAAGCAAUCAGUAUUUCCAGUGGCAUCCUUAGCUGGUCAAGCCUCAUAGAACAGUCUUGCCCUGGGGCAUUAUACCUGUUGUGCCCAUUUGUUAUGGGUUUUUCAUGAGUCUCCCAAUUUCAGAAUGUUGCCGUGUUGUCAGACCUUGUGCCUGCCAUGCUAUGGCAUGUUGUCACAAUAAGGCUUCUGAUUUUAGGUGCCGUUUUAUAAUUAUUGAAAAAGUUAGGUAUGUGACAAAGUAUGCUGGACUUCAUAGAUAAAACAAAGUCUACAAAAAAUUUUAAAAAUUAGUCUCUAAUUUUUGCUACUUGUAUAUAUUAAAACCAAUGUGAAUUCUCUGAAUCUUGUCCAGAAUUUCAACCUACUUAACCCACGUGAUUCACAUGAGAAGGGAGGCUAGGAGGGAGAUGGAUCGAGAAAAAUGAAAUAGGAGGAUGUAUUUCACAAUAAAUAAUGAGAAUUUUAUGUAAAGUUCCAAUUAGAAAGAAGGUAGAUUUAGGCCUUCUAAAUAAACUUAAGGUUUCAAGAACCACUUGAAGAAAUCUGUAAAGAGGAGGAUAUCAAGAGCAGGAGGAUAUCUGAGCUAUACACAGUUGUAGCCCAGAUGAAGUAGUACAGGCCCCAAGAAAAAGAAUGGUUAUACAAUGUGACCAAUACUUCCCAAUGGAAGGCUUUUCCAUAUAAUGUAUAACAGAAGUGGUACACAUUCAUAGCAAUUUGAUAAAACAAUUAUAUUUUCCAGUUAAUAGUCACAAUAAUCCUGAUAGGUACAAAAGGUAUUACAAUUAUCCCACUUUUAAGUUAAGAAAAAUGAGUUCUGGAGUGUCUGAGCUUGUAUGUAAGACAUAAAGGCUUUUGGAACUCAUUCAGUGAUUACACAGAGAGAGUCUAUUUCUGCCUGAAACACACAAGGUAAAUUGUGUCUUUAACAACCCAUCUCCUAUCAACCAUCUAUCCAAAAGGCAGGUGCAUCAUAACAGCACAGUAAGUAGAAGGUUCAGGAAGAGCAUGAGAGCUUUUCUUACAGAAAGAGAUCACAUCAAUUGCCUAUUGUGAGUGGAUUACCUUGUGAAAAAUAAGCAUGAUUUAAAUUUUCAGUUGACAGUCAAAAUUCAAUAAACUACUUCGGUGUUGUCAAAGCUGUUUUCUGUAUUCAUAUUACAGAAAAUGGGCCACUUAAUCUUUAAAAAGUGAUCAAUUAGUCUAGCCUACAUCGCUUCUUAUUGGCAAUGCAUGCUACCAGGUGGCUGCUUUUGAAUCUUUAAAAAAAAUUAAAGAAAAUGUCUGAAAGGCAAGGUAAAGAGUAUAAUGAGAUAUGCUAACUUCUUACAAAAUUCUGAAUAAACUCAUGAAACUCCUAAAAUGUUAAUUAGUCCUCUUGUGCUGUAUGCUUAUCACACCUGUUUAGUUAUGCCACCACAGACAUGUUCCCUGGAAUUCUUAUUCUAGUCUGUGACUUCUAGUUAAUGAUGUCAUAAGCCUUUCUCAGUACAUAGUGGCACCAAAAUUCUCUUGUCACUUGGUACAUAGUUCAUAGGGAUGGGAGCACAGAGAAUCAGGUUAGUGGGCCUGGAUUUUAGUUCUGAACUUGUACUAGUUCAUGCAUUUCUAAAACUGUACUUAAAGAAACACAUGCAUGCCCAGGCCCACCCUUAGCCAUUUUUAUAUAGUCAGACUUGAGUGAAGCAAAAAUACCUGUGAUUUUCACAAAGUGUUUCUGAAGCACAGCUCUGCUCAGAGCCCUUGCUUUACAGGUUCCAAUAGUGUCAAAUCUAUGUCACUUAGCCUGAAUCCUCUGGAAAGCCGAGCCUGAAGCAAUGAUUAUGAUUCUAAUAGUUUAUUUUCCAGAUACAAUCACAUCACAGGAUGUUGAGCCUCCUCACCCCAUGUGGAGGUGAGGCUUUCCUCAGGUGGUCCCCUGCCAAAGUGGGGAAGUCAGCUGGAUUCCUUAUCCUACUCAGUACAUUAUUAAAAUUCAGAAGCCAGAGAAGAAUGCAGAACACUUGGAAGUUGUUCAGAGGAGAGCCUCAAAGAUGAUUAAAGGGAUGAGAAAUGAGACCCAAGGAAAGUAUAAUUUAUUGAGAUGAUUCCAUUUUGACAGGGCAGAGUUUGAGGUGAUGACUCAGUUCAUGUUCUGUUGACUAGAACUCGAACUCUGUGCUCUGCCAUAAACUAUAUUGCUAUGUCAAGUAAUGUUCAUAAUUGGGACAAUGAAAAUUUAGUAAUGAAAAAUUUUAUAAUGAUUUUGAUUUCAUUCCUUUUUCCCUGCAACCGAAUUUAAGUUUCAUUAAAUGUAAGGUUAGUGCAUUCUCCUACUUCGCAAAUGGAUAAUACAUAGGAUUCUUAUUUUCACACCACAUCCAGAAAUAGUUUCCACAUUCUAAACUCUGAAACAGGAAAAUGCCUUGGUGUUCAUCUUCAUCCAGAUGAAUCAGGUCUUAAUUUUAGUUUUCUGGAAAGAAAUAGCAGCGUGUACAAAUCAAAUUUUUUAAAUUAAUAAUUGCAGCAGAUUUUCAGGGCUGGCUGAUAAGUCAUUUUCUGUAGUGGUUGCUAAUUGAUUAUUAACUCUCUAGAAUGACUUAAAUAUGAUGCUACCCUAAGACACUGAAAAUAGAGCUGAUCUACUUGGAGCCUAAGAUCUUAUGAAUUUUCUUUUUUUUUUUUAAGCUUUAAAAUUUUUUUUUUGUCAGAGGCUUUUCAGUGUUCUAGUAAAAAAAACCUCUUAGAUUUGCAAGAUUAUAGAUUGCCUAUAAAUAUUCUGCAACUAAUGCAUUUAUGUUUUAAGUCCGUAAAGGAACACUUAGUAUUGCUAUAUCUGCAGGUAGUUUGUUGUACAUUUAUGUUUCUUAAUUACUAUGUUAGUAAACAGUCUCUCGGGUGCUUUUUCUAUGAUUGAUGAACUUACUUUUUAUUUUGAUAAAGAUGGCUGUUGCAUUAGUGCUUAACCUCCAUAGUGUAAUCAUUCUUGCCCCAGACAGAUUUUCUUGACCUGAAAACCAAAUGUCUCUGUGGUAAAUGCAUUACAUAAAAAAAGACCCUACACUCUGCUUUUUCUUCUUGUAAAUCAGUUUUCUUAUGUUUCACUUUUAUGAGUUUCUAGCUGUGAUGUUAUUACAAUUGAUUCAGCAAUGGAAGAAAUAUUUAGUUGGAUUUCAAAGGAAUAUUCUAUGCAGUUGUGGUAGAAAGACAUUCACUUAAGGUAUUGUCUUAGUCCAUUCAUGUUACUACAACAAAAAUGCCAUAAACUGGGCAGCUUAUAGACAAUAAACAUUUAUCAGAGUUCUAGAGACUCGGAAGUCCAAAUCAAGGCAUUGAAGGGCACUAAUCCCUUCAUGAGGCCCUACCUGCUGAUGUGAUCACCCCAAAGGCCCUACCUCCUAAUGCCAUCACCUUGGGGAUUAGGAUUUCAAUAUAUAAAUUUUGGGGAGUACAAGUUGUGACACCAUAGCAGGUAUCUUGAAUAUAUCUUGUAGUCCCAGAUUUUCUAAUUCUUAAGAAUCAUCAAAUCUGAUAAAUUUCACACUUUACAUGUCUUAUGAAUGCCCUACAAGUAGAUGCAGGGGCUAUACUCAGAUUAAAAAAAAAGGGUGGAUGUCUGCAUUUGCUCGUGAGACUAAUCUCAGCUGCAGGCAGACUAUUUCGGAAAAUUGUUAGAAUUUCAUGGGGUAACUUUUACUCCUUCCCAAGCUAAUUAUUUUUAAUUUCUCUUUCCUUCUACUUUUUGUUUGUUUUCCAUGAGUUUUUUUGUUUUAUUUUAUUUUAAUCUGCAGACAAUUUGCAGUGAUUAGAUUUGUUCAAAGUAGACCCAGAUUCUUUAAGACUGGUGAAUCCUCUCAAAUUGAAACAAAACAAAAUUACAGACACAUACAGAGAUGCACACACACAUGCAUACCCACAUAAAAACAAAAUAUACAGAAAGAAAGUAAACUUUUCUGUUAUACUACUAUUCUUGGACCUCAAAAUGAUAUUCAUAAAAGCUUAAGGCAAAAUGAGGGAUGAAAUCCAGAUGAACUGGAACACUUGCUUUAUGCCCUAAGAAUUUAUCUGAAAAGUUGUGGGCAUAUUGAAUUUCACUUUAAAAUUUUGGUAUUAGAAGAGCUAUCAUUGAAUGAAAUUCUGCAGUGCUUCUUUUUGCAAAAUGAAACAUUCUUUUAGAGGGCAGAAGAGCCUCUUUAACAGAUCUCUUUCCAAUGAACCUAUUUUUUCCUGUAGUCUCUUUGAGCAUCAAAUUUAUAAACUGUAAAAUAGAUACUAGUUUGUACUUGAUAGAGUGGUCAAGAGAAUUAAAUGAGAAUUAGUUUUUUGAGUAAUAAAGCCCUACAUAAAUGUCAGUAGGCUUAUGUUUCAGACUGACACCUGUAUUAUAUUAAUAAGUCUUCAUUUAGUUUGUGUAAAGGGGAUGUAAGUUGGUGUCUACUCCUGCUCUGUUACCUGAUUUCUAAAGUGUGAGUUUGUAUAAAUCCUUAAGUACUUUGAACACCAGUUUUUCAUUCACGUAUUCAUUCAGUAAGAAGGUAUCAAGUGCCUACAAUGUACCAGGAUGCCAUUGGCUCUGGGGAUAUAGCAGUGCAAGACAGAAAUGCAGCUCAUGGAGCUGGCGUUCUGAUGGUGAGAUGCAAGCACCAAACAAAGGAAAUACGUAGAUGUCACUGCUACACGUGUUGAGAAAGAAGAUCAUGCUCCUUGAAUCCUUUCUUGUGCAAGACCUUUGAUUCCCUCGUAAGAAAAGAAGCUGCUUUAGAGUGAGGGCUUCAGACCUUUCAUCAUCCUGGCUCUGGUCCAUCCAUCCUUUCUCUGAUCUGUAGCUCAGGAAUGGGGUGAAGUAGACAUGCCCCAGAUGCAUGUCACUGCCAGGCAGGUCCUUGGAUGGGAAAGUACAAGAUGUACUCACAGAAAGGUCUUUGAGAUAUUCCCACACUGUCUUCCACAAUGGUUGACCUAAUUUACACUCCUACCAACAGUGAGUAAUCACUCCUUUAUCUCUACAACCUCUGUGGCAUCUGUUAUUUUUUGACUUUUUAGUGAUAGCCAUUCCGACUGGUGUAAGAUGUAUCUCA
rnacentral:lncRNA from 1 species